rnacentral:rRNA from 1 species
AGAGUUUGAUCAUGGCUCAGAACAAACGCUGGCGGCGUGCCUAAUACAUGCAAGUCGAACGGGGAAAGUAGCAAUACGAGUACUAGUGGCGCACGGGUGAGGAAUACAUGGGUAAUCUGCCCUCGAGCUCGGGAUAACCAGUCGAAAGACUGGCUAAUACCGGAUAUGACCACAAGAUCUGAGGAUCAAGGGGUAAAAGGUUUUUCGCUUGAGGAUGAGCCCAUGUGGGAUUAGCUAGUUGGUGUAGGUAACGGCUCACCAAGGCGACGAUCCCUAACUGGUCUUAGAGGAUGAUCAGUCACACUGGAACUGAGACACGGUCCAGACUCCUACGGGAGGCAGCAGUAGGGAAUAUUGCACAAUGGAGGAAACUCUGAUGCAGCGACGCCGCGUGAGUGAUGAAGGCCUUCGGGUCGUAAAGCUCUGUCGUAUGGGACUAACAAAAUGAAGGUACCAUGCAAGAAAGGAUCGGCUAACUUCGUG